UCAUAAACAAAUUUAUUACUUUUAAUGAAAUUAUUUUAGGUUAAACUUUAUCCCAUUGUGCUUCUCAUUAAAAUGUAUCAGAUCCAUUGGGAACCGAAACAUUGAGUAUGAUCGAAGAGUAAGUGUAGAGUGUAGAACUGAGAAACUCUCUGAUCUCCGGGUAUCCUGUAUACUACACAGGGACGGAUCCUGCAGAUACUGUGUCAGGAGCUACGGAGAUUCAGGAGAUGGUAUAUUCUCUUUAAAUAGAUCUUGUCUGGAUACAUCCAGGGUAGAAGAUGGAAGAUAUGUAUGUGGACUGAUGUGGGGACUAGAUAUGGGAGAUCAAUGGGUUCGGGACUGUAGCAGUGUGGGUUCAGUUCGGUUCUCCGGGCAAAAGGAGAAUAGUCCUAGUAAUCCAUUCUAUAUCAUGGAGCAUGCAGGAUCUAAGGAGAUCUGUAGAGAAAAUAUCCUCACCCAGGGAAGACGAGUGAAUUUUUGUGUAUGUUUUGGAGAUCUUUGCAAUUUUGGAGGAAGAGACAACCUGGAUUUUACUCUGGGUAUUUUUACACUGCUGGUUCUUUUACGACAGUGAUAACAAGUUAAUAAAUAGAUUUAUUGAUUUACAACAAGAAAAUGUCUGUUUAGGAAUAUUUUCAGUCCUAUUUUGAUUUUUUUUUUAUCAAAUAUCCGUCAAAAAUUUCGUGAGAGACCCUGUACAUUUAAAAAAAAAUUAGCCCAACAAAAACGCGUAAAAUAUCAAGUUCAAAAUUGGGCCUAAAGUUAAGACUCGCUGAACAAAUAAUCAGGACCGUGAACCAAUACAGUAAGUUGAGCUUAAAUUUAAACAAUUUAUAUUUUUCAUCUAAAGGAACUGAUUACUGGCACUUCGCUUUAAUUUUCUAAU